AUUGAACGCUGGCGGCAGGCCUAACACAUGCAAGUCGAACGAGUGGCGGACGGGUGAGUAAUGUCUGGGAAACUGCCCGAUGGAGGGGGAUAACUACUGGAAACGGUAGCUAAUACCGCAUACCAUCGGAUGUGCCCAGAUGGGAUUAGCUUGUAGGUGGGGUAACGGCUCACCUAGGCGACGAUCCCUAGCUGGUCUGAGAGGAGGACCAGCUACACUGGAACGGAGACACGGUCCAGACUCCUACGGGAGGCAGGAGUGGGGAGUAUUGCAAAAUGGGCGCAAGCCUGAUGCAGGCAGGCCGCGGGUAUGAAGAAGGCCUUCGGGUUGUAAAGGACUUUCAGCGGGGAGGCGUUACCCGAAGAAGAAGCACCGGCUAACUCCGUGCCAGCAGCCGCGGUAAUAC
rnacentral:rRNA from 1 species